rnacentral:lncRNA from 1 species
UUCCUUUCCGCAGAGUUCUUGGAAAAAGCGAUGUUUCACCUUGUGCAAGUCUAGCGAGAGAUGCUACACCUUGAAGUACCUUAAAGGUCAACAGAUAAAGGGUUUCAUUGCAAUUGACCAGAUUUCAAAUAUUGAGAUUGGCAUAAGUAAUUAUGAGAAGAUGACAGCAGUAAGGAAGAUGUUCAAAUGCCAUCCUGAGGAAGUGCUAUCCAUCAACACAGAGAGCAGGGAAUACUACCUCAUUGGGAAGGACAGGGAACAAGUUGAGGACUGGUUCACUUCCCUAUCUUCAGUCCGCAUGAAGGCAAAAGAAGAUGGAUGCUUUGCUCAGAACCAGAAUCCUGAGGCUCAGAGAAGCAAAGGUCGGUCCCUCUCUUCGCCACCAGCCGUCGAUGAAACAGUUAUGAGCACCUAUGAGGAGAUUCCGAGUGACUGCAGUGAAGUGGAAGAUCUCACAGAUGACAAGAAAAGGCCUCACUCAGAUCCCGGCUCUCGUGGUCUCCCUGAACAGCAGCCUCGCCACAGUUCACCAACACCUCUUCUUCCAAGUCUGAAUAACAAUUCUGAAAAGACCAGCAUAAAUCAGCUGCUGUUGGACUCAGAUGAGAACACCAGAGCAGAGGAGGAAGACUAUUAUGCUUCUCCAAGCAGCAUUCUAG